rnacentral:rRNA from 1 species
UACGUAGGGGGCAAGCGUUGUCCGGAAUCAUUGGGCGUAAAGAGCGUGUAGGCGGCUCGGUAAGUCCGCUCUGAAAGCCCGGGGCUCAACCCCGGGAGGCGGGCGGAUACUGUCGGGCUAGAGUCCGGUAGAGGCGAGUGGAAUUCCUGGUGUAGCGGUGAAAUGCGCAGAUAUCAGGAGGAACACCAAUGGCGAAGGCAGCUCGCUGGGACGGUACUGACGCUGAGACGCGAAAGCGUGGGGAGCAAACAGG